rnacentral:rRNA from 2 species
AACUUUCAACAACGGAUCUCUUGGCUCUCGCAUCGAUGAAGAACGCAGCGAAAUGCGAUAAGUAAUGUGAAUUGCAGAAUUCAGUGAAUCAUCGAAUCUUUGAACGCACCUUGCGCUCCUUGGUAUUCCGAGGAGCAUGCCUGUUUGAGUGUCG